UUGUCCUUGAGGUUGCACUUACUAAAUAUGUUUGCUGCCUGUACUGCAGCCUGGGAGCUCCCAAUUUGCUUCUCCUUCUUUUUAUUUUUCUCCAUCUGAAGCUACAUCAUUACUAAUGAAAAACCAAAAUGUGAAGAAAAAUGAGUUAGAAAUUUUCAAUUAUGGGUGUUUCUUCAAAUAUUGAGAAUGAUAACACUGUGAAAUUUCUUUUACAAGAAAAGCUCUUUUUUCAACUUUUACAGAAGAGCCCAGUGGCCCUCAAUUUUAUUUUUUUAAUUAAUGCUAACAUAAAGCUAUGAGAACAAAAUUGAUUUAGGAGUUGGACUGUGCAUUUGUAAUCUCUGCACAAGCAGAAGAGUAGAUUUCUAAAGUUACUUUAACUCUGCUUAUAUGUUUCGGCCACAAUAAUGCUAUAACUAACUUAAUUAGGAAAAAAAAAAGAAGGAAAAUGUAGAAAAACCUUUAUGUCCUGUGAAAGGAAAGCUAUUGCUGCUGUGAGAAUUGCUAUUCCUGCUGGCAGGAAGGCAGGAGGUUAAUGAGAACCCCUCCUUGAGGGUUGGUUUUCUCAAUUUUCUCAUGUGCACAGGAACAAACCAAACUCCAAAGCUCUGCAGCCAUCCCUACCAGCAACAGCAAGUUCCUGCUCCUGUCAGUUAAAAGCCUGUUUACCUUUGAACUCAGUGGGAACAAGAACCAGGCCCUUGUGCAACUGUGGGAAAUAAUUGACUGCAGUAACAUUUCCAUCAGCCCUGUGAGUUGAUUUGAACCAGAUUACUCAGGAAACUCAAAAACCCGAUGCGAGGUUUUUAUGAUGGAUUUUUCCAAGGCAAAAAUCCAUGGACUGGCUUCAUACCACCAGCACAGUUGAGGUUUUCCAUCACGAGAUUGAUGCUCCCCUUGAGCCCGAAAAUGGCUGGCAAGAGACUUCUGGGUGACUGGAGGAGACUGUCACAGCAGAGCCUGUGGGGAGAUGCUGGAGUCACUCAGGCAGAGCAAGUCCUUCUCUGAGCCAACUGAUCCUUGGCAGGUUGCAAACAGAGCAAAACUAAAAGUGGCAAAUGCACUAUUUCUGUGGCUGGCAGACAGACCAGGGAGCAAUAACACUCCCCAGUGUGGAACAUCUCACAUCAACAAGGCUCACUUUGGUGCUGGGGAUUCAGUGGGAUUCAGCUCCAGUGGGCUCUGGCACAGACCCUAAAUACAGAACAUUACAUGACCUUAAUGUUGCUUUUGAAAAUAGACUGCUGAUAUUGAGACUUACAUAAAGAAAUACAUAAAUUUACUGUUCAACGUGGUGGAUAAAUGCCCUGUGGCAAACAUCUAUUAGAGAAGUAGAAUGUAAUUAAGGUUACUUAAUGCUGGGAAAGUAAACAUUACUUGG